rnacentral:lncRNA from 1 species
CCGCGCGCGCCCGCCCCGGGAGGAGGGUGCGCGGCGGAGGCGCGGGGGGGGGGGGGGGAGUCGAGGAGGGGCCGCGCCCGGUCCUCGCCCGCAGCGGGCACCGCCGGGGGCCCCGGGAGGCCUUGUUGGUAUUCCGGGCACAGCAGAAGCCCUGACCUCCCCGCGGAACAGGGGCGCCCGGGAGCGCGGCGCGGCCGCCGCCCCCGGGCGGUCUCCCCGGACUGCGGGGCCGUAGGCGCCUUGCUCCCCCUCCUCCCUGUCCCCUCCUCUCCAGGUCCCCCGUACCCCCUCCCCCGGCCUGAUCCGGCGGCGAAGGGGUGGGCAGGGAAACGCGCUCUCUGGGACAGGUGCCAACUCCGAGACAAAAGACAUAAAAUAGGCGGCAACGGGGGAAGCGCGGCCGGCGCGCUCGGGCGGGGACGGAGGCGCCGCGGGGGCCGCAUCCUCGGUGCCGACCGGGGAAAGUUUGGGAAGUCGCCGCGGCGGCUUCGCAGCGGCGGGGGACACGCGGGCCGGGCCGCCCUCCGCGCCGCGCUCGCCCUCUCCGCGCCGCUGCUGAAUAAUUCAUGGCGCGGCCGCCGGCCAUUAGCAUGCACCGGGCGCGCGGCGCGUCUGUGCCCAGCCGUCGCCGCCGCAUUCGGCGCCCCGGCCGCGCUAGACGAGCGGCCGCGCAGAGGCCGGGCCCGCGCCGUCCCCGCGCUCGCCCGCCCGUCCGCCCGUCCGCCCACCCGGCGGCUCCCAUUGUGCCCCAGGCCCGCGCCGCUCCGCCGUCCUGUGACCGCCUGCGCCCCGCAGCGCGCCCGACGGCCGGCCGCUGGAAGUUCGGGCCCGCGGCGCACGCCCUGCCGCCCCGGGAUGCACGUGAACUUGGAGAAAGUCUCGGGGCGCGCCGGCGCAGACCUCCGCGGCAGGGCGUGGGCGCCCCUGGCCCCGCGCGCUUUCGUUUUCGUCUGGGACAAAGGUCCCUCGCGGCGCAGGUCGCGGACGUGGAGGCAGUGCCCUGCGGGCCACUCAGCGGGGAGGUCCGGUCGUUCAGUCAAGGGAAGCCGGAGCCUGGAGAAGACGAGCCGCGCGGUCGGAGGCGCGGUGCGGGACCAGGACAGUGGGGCCUGGCCGUGCGCUUCGCCCUGGCGGUCCAGGAGCUGUCUCGCCCUCCGAAGAGUUACGGGAGGUGGCACUGCUUUUGCUCUCUGCCCUUUCGACACGUGAAGGAGAGAAUCAUUCGGAACCCAGGACUCAGACCGGUGGCCGAGGGCCUGUGCAGCCGCGAGCACGACAGCGCAGCGCUGGCCGCGUCCGCGCGCGUUCCUCCGACAAGGGCAGAGCAGUCGACCAGCGCGCCCCAGUCUCGAUCGGGUUCAAGGCGACUCUUGAGGACGGUGUGGGGCUUUGAAAGUACAAUCCUGCAUGGCCUUACUGUGAAUGGAUGGGCACUUUGUCUCGGUCCGGAUGCAGGAGUCCUGCCUUUAGAGGCAGCUCAGAAGCCCUGUGGAUGGAUCGUACGAGCGCCCCGGCCCAGCCCACUUGCAGCCAGUGGUAGGAGGCUUGCCGAGCAGAGAUGUGACCGGCCGAGACUGCGGUUAUUAUCGCCAAAUGAGACUGGUAGUUGUGGUUAG